rfam:Capsicum annuum cultivar Zunla-1 unplaced genomic scaffold scaffold30367, whole genome shotgun sequence
CGACCCCAGUUUAGGCGGGAUCACCCAUUGAGUUUAAGCAUAUCAAUAAGCGGAGGAAAAGAAACUUACAAGGAUUCCCUUAGUAACGACGAGCGAACCAGGAACAACCCAUCCUUAGAAUCGGGUGGCUCCAUCUUCUGAAUUGCAGUCUGGAGAAGCGUCCUCAGUGGCGGACAGGGCCCAAUUCCCCUGGAAGGGGACAUCAGAGAGGGUGAGAGACCCGUUGUGUCCGGACCCUGUUCGCACCAUGAGCGCUUUCUAUGAGUCGGGUUAUUGGGAAUAUAGCCUAAAUCGGGCAGUGAAUUCCAUCCAAGGCUAAAUACGGGGGAGAGACCGAUAGCGAAGAAGUACCAUAACGGAAAAAUGAAAAGGACGUUUAAAAUAGAGUCAAAAAGUGCUUGAAAUUAUCGGAAGAAAAGUGGAUAGGGGCUGGUGAUGCGCCCCGAUCGGAUGUGGAAUGGCGACGAGCUGGUCCACCGAUUGACUCGGGGCGUGGACCAGCAGGGAUUUGGGGGCGGCCAAAUCCCAGGUUUUUAAUAUGCUUUUGGAAUGCCAUCUCCUUAAUUGUGGUAGGCAGCGCAUUCCUCCGGUGUGCUUCGGCAUCUGCAUGCUUUGGAUUCUGGCCUACGGGCUCCCCAUUCGACCUGUCUUGAAAUACGGAUCAAAGAGUCUGAUAUUUGUGUGAGUUAAUAGGCGAGUAAACCUAUAAGGCAUAAUGAAGGAUAUUAGUGGCAUUCUCUUAAGGGGCUUACCGCCUAUUGACCUUGAUCUUCUAAGAAGGGUUUGAGUGUGAGCAUACCUAUCGGGACCUAAAACAUGGUGAACUAUGCCAAAACGGGUCGAAGCCAGAGGAAAAUCUGGUGGAGGCCCCCAGCUAUACUGGUGUGUUAAUGUUCGUCUGACUUGGGUAUAGGGGCAAAAUACUAAUCGAACCGUCUAGUAGCUGGUUCCCUCCGAAGUUUCCCUCAAGAUAGUUGGAUCUCGCGUGUGAGUUCUAUCGGAUUAAGCAAUUGAUUAGACGCCCCGGGUGCGCAACGCCCUUGACCUAUUCUCAAACUUUAAAUAGGUAGGACGGCGCAGCUGCUUUGUUGAGCCGCACGACAGAACCAAGAGUUUCAAGUGGGCCAUUUUUAUUAAGCAGAGGCGAUGCGGGAUGAACAAAAAGCUGGGUUACAGUGCCAAAAUGUGCGCUAACCUAGAUUCCACAAAGGGUGUUGCUCGAUUAAGACAGUAGAAUGGUGGUCAUAGAACUCAAAAUCCGCUAAGGAGUAUGUAACAACUCACCUGCCAAAUCAAAUAGUCCCAAAAAUGGAAGGCGCUUAAGCGCGAGACCUACACCCAUCCGUUGGGGCAAGUGUCAGGCCCCGAUGAGUAGGAGGGCACGGCGGUCACUGCAAAACUUUGGGCAUGAGCUCGGGUGAAGAAGUCGUCGGUGGAAAUAUUGAUGGUAGUAGAAAAUAUUCAAAUGAGAACUUUGAAGGCUGAAGAGGGGAAAGGUUCCAUGUGAACAACACUUUCACUUGGGUUAGUCGAUCCUAAGGUUUGGGGGAACCCCGACAGUUAGCGCAUUUCGUGCAUACUCCUAAAGAGAGUCAGGUUAAAAUUGUUGAAUCAGGAUAUGGCGGUCGAUAAAAACAUUAGAAAGUCUGGAGAUGUCGGCGGGAGCCUCAGGAAGAGUUAUCUUUUCUAUUUAACAGCCUUACCAUAUGCUUGCCCUUAUUUUCAUUACCAAGGUGUCCAGACAGGUAAGUUAGGAUCACCAUAGGUCUUUUCUUCGGCUUGUAAUAUAGGCUAAGAGCUAGUAUGAUAUUCAAUGGCAUUUAGAGUGACUAAGCCUCCUUGGCACUACCUUAACUUUUGGGGUUCACUUAUUAACCUUUUUCUUCUUUUUCUCCUUUCCUUGAUCACACAUUAUUCAAGAUGGAUGU